rnacentral:rRNA from 1 species
AUUGAACGCUGGCGGCAUGCUUUACACAUGCAAGUCGAACGGCAGCGCGGGCUUCGGUCUGGCGGCGAGUGGCGAACGGGUGAGUAAUUCAUCGGAACGUCCCCAGUAGUGGGGGAUUGCCCGGCGAAAGCCGGAUUCAUACCCCAUUCGACCUGACGGCGAACGCGGGGGACCGAAAGGCCUCGCGCUCUUGCACCGGCCGAUGUCGGAUUAGCUAGUUGGUGGGGUAAAGGCUUACCAAGGCGACGAUCCGUAGCUGGUCUGAGAGGACGACCAGCCACACUGGGACUGAGACACGGCCCAGACUCCUACGGGAGGCAGCAGUGGGGAAUAUUGGACAAUGGGGGCAACCCUGACCCAGCCAUGCCGCGUGCGGGAAGAGGGCCUUCGGGUUGUAAAGCGCUUUUGUUGGGGAAGAAAUCCUCUGGGCUAAUACCCCGGGGGGAUGACGGUACCGGAAGAAUAAGCACCGGCUAACUACGUG